GUGCGGAGGCUGCGGGCCACGGCGGAGCAGUUCGAGCGGCUCUGCCAGCAGCAGCGCAGCUGGGUGGGCUGUGUCAAGAGAUUCAAAGACAGCCUGACGGAGGAGAGGGACGCUCUGCUGCGACAGGUCGUCGCCCUGAGCGAGAAGGCCGAGAAGCUGAAGGAGAGUUCGCCCACGUGGCGCCUCCUCCGUCCCCCGGAGGACACCGAGCGCCGUGACGGCAGUCGGACGUCGUUGGACGCAGAGGACGCUGUGGCUAACCUGGAGUCUCGGGUGGAGGAGUCAAACGUGCUGUAUGCGGAGCUCUUUAACCAGGCAGGAGGCCUCACCAACGGACUCCAAAAACCUCCCUGAGGGCCGCGGCCUGCGGCUCGUCUUCCUCUCCGCUGCCCACCUUCCUCAAAGCAGAACUCAGCCCCUAAAACGCUCGUCAAAUACCCGCCAGUCGUUGUGGUUAAAAAAAAACAAAAAAAACAAAAGAAAACAACUGGGACCAGCUGAACCGACUCGUUCCCAGACUUUCUUUUUUUUUCACCUGUCUUCCUUUUACUGUGACACGUGCACGUCACAUGACGUCACGUCGUUACUCAGCCCGUGUAAUCAACACCACCAACGAGAGCACCGAAGCACCUGCGAAUGUUCUCUCUCUUCUGUUGUGUUGCCAAUGAAUGAAACAACGAAAACGUGCCGUUCAGAGGGAAACCGAGGGCCCCGGCUGAUGUGAUCUGGUUCAGAAGAUCCUCACUUCAUCAGGAACAGGAACGCAUGGGAGAGGGGGGGGGGGGCGAAUGCUGUCCACCGGCCCGGCUUCAUCGGAAUGGGAAACAUGUGACUCGCACAUGGCUGGAGAUCCAUUCGAAGCGUGGAUGAUGUCACACCACGUGUUAACUAUUCACUAAGUGAAAAAUAAAGUUCACCUUUGUCAGCGCCACGGGACGCCGUGACGUCGCCAUUCGGUUACCGGACUGACGCCCGACCAAUGGGCCGUCGCCAUCUUGGAUUAAUAAGCCCCGCCCCAUAAAGCUGACCUUCGGCUAUGGUUUAUUUGACUCUACAUGGAGCGUAAUAUACUAAAUGAACAUCACGUUGUAUUGGAGAAGUCUUGAAUCUGGAGAGUGAGACCAUAAACUCAUGUUUACAAUGUUUACUGAGGCAAUAAAUCAAGAGGGAGAGUCUUUUUUCACACAAUCAGACGUGUCGACUUGAUCCACUAAACUUUAACAAAUAAUCCAACAUGCUUUGCACAGUUUAAAACAUUUAGUUAGUAAAAGGUUGUUGUUUUCGUUAACUAAAGAAGUGCACACAGAAGGGAAAGGGCAACCUUUUUCCUUCGCUCAAUGUGUUGGCGGGCGUGGUUCCAGCUCGGCUGCAGGGGGGAGAGAGGGGGAGUGGCUCGGGGAACAGUGCCAGGUGAGAACGAUCGAUUGAUUGAUUGAUUGAUGACUGACAUGUGUGUGUGUCCUCCCUACUUAAAAGGCAGUAAGGCGGGCGAGCGAGGGGAAGAGUACGAGCGAGCUGGAAGCCGACGCGUUGUAUGGAACAGUAUCACGCAAAUAAAAACAUAUUUAAA